GGCCGCGACCACAACGCGUUGGAAACACCGGUUCUCGUCUGAUCACCGAAGUUAAGCAACGUCGGUCCCGGUUAGUACUUGCAUGGGUGACCGGCUGGGAAUACCAGGUGUUGCGGUCG
rfam:Echinostoma caproni strain Egypt genome assembly, scaffold: ECPE_scaffold0005637